UACGAAGGGUGCAAGCGUUACUCGGAAUUACUGGGCGUAAAGCGUGCGUAGGUGGUUCGUUAAGUCUGAUGUGAAAGCCCUGGGCUCAACCUGGGAAUGGCAUUGGAAACUGGCGACCUAGAGUGCGGUAGAGGGUAGUGGAAUUCCCGGUGUAGCAGUGAAAUGCGUAGAGAUCGGGAGGAACAUCCGUGGCGAAGGCGGCUUCCUGGACCGACACUGACGCUGAGGCGCGAAAGCUAGGGGAGCAAACAGG
rnacentral:rRNA from 1 species